AGCAGGCUGAGCGGUUGCGUGUGAUUUAUCAUACGAGGAAAGUCCGAGCUCCGCAGGGCACAGUGCUGGGUAACGCCCAGUGAAGGUGACUUUAAGGAAAGUGCCACAGAGAACAGACCGCUGCGAUUUACUUCGCAGUAAGGGUGAAAAGGUGCGGUAAGAGCGCACCAGCGUUCAGGUGACUGGACGGCUAGGUAAACCCCACUGGGAGCAAGACCAAAUAGGAGAGAUACAGGGCUGCCCGUCCUUCUCUCGGGUUAGGUCGCUUGAGAUAUGUGGCAACACAUAUCCUAGAUAGAUGAUCGCUCUCGACAAAACUCGGCUUACAGGCUUGCUUGU
rnacentral:RNase_P_RNA from 1 species